UAUCAUACUUGUAUUAGUUUUUUGGUUGCCACUCAGCACAUCACCAUCAACUUGGGGGCUUCAAACAACACAAACUUAUCUUAUCGUUCUGGAGGUCCCUCAAAAGAAGACCCUGAGAUAAAAUAAGCAUUUGGACCUUGGACA